AGAGUUUGAUCCUGGCUCAGAUUGAACGCUGGCGGCAUGCCUUACACAUGCAAGUCGAACGGUAACAGGGAGCUUGCUCCGCUGACGAGUGGCGAACGGGUGAGUAAUAUAUCGGAACGUACCAUUCAGUGGGGGAUAACGUAGCGAAAGUUACGCUAAUACCGCAUAUUCUGUGAGCAGGAAAGCAGGGGAUCGCAAGACCUUGCGCUGAUUGAGCGGCCGAUAUCAGAUUAGCUUGUUGGUGAGGUAAAAGCUCACCAAGGCGACGAUCUGUAGCGGGUCUGAGAGGAUGAUCCGCCACACUGGAACUGAGACACGGUCCAGACUCCUACGGGAGGCAGCAGUGGGGAAUUUUGGACAAUGGGGGCAACCCUGAUCCAGCCAUGCCGCGUGAGUGAAGAAGGCCUUCGGGUUGUAAAGCUCUUUCAGCCGGGAAGAAAACGCAUGGGUUAAUACCCUGUGUGGAUGACGGUACCGGAAUAAGAAGCACCGGCUAACUACGUGCCAGCAGCCGCGGUAAUACGUAGGGUGCGAGCGUUAAUCGGAAUUACUGGGCGUAAAGCGUGCGCAGGCGGUUUAGUAAGACAGGCGUGAAAUCCCCGGGCUUAACCUGGGAAUUGCGUUUGUGACUGCAAGGCUAGAGUACGGCAGAGGGGGGUGGAAUUCCACGAGUAGCAGUGAAAUGCGUAGAGAUGUGGAGGAACACCAAUGGCGAAGGCAGCCCCCUGGGUCGAUACUGACGCUCAUGCACGAAAGCGUGGGUAGCAAACAGGAUUAGAUACCCUGGUAGUCCACGCCCUAAACGAUGUCAACUAGGUGUUGGGAGGGUAAAACCUUUUAGUACCGGAGCUAACGCGUGAAGUUGACCGCCUGGGGAGUACGGCCGCAAGGUUAAAACUCAAAGAAAUUGACGGGGACCCGCACAAGCGGUGGAUGAUGUGGAUUAAUUCGAUGCAACGCGAAAAACCUUACCUACCCUUGACAUGCCAAGAACUUUCCAGAGAUGGAUUGGUGCCCGAAAGGGAACUUGGACACAGGUGCUGCAUGGCUGUCGUCAGCUCGUGUCGUGAGAUGUUGGGUUAAGUCCCGCAACGAGCGCAACCCUUGUCGUUAAUUGCCAUCAUUUAGUUGGGCACUUUAACGAGACUGCCGGUGACAAACCGGAGGAAGGUGGGGAUGACGUCAAGUCCUCAUGGCCCUUAUGGGUAGGGCUUCACACGUCAUACAAUGGUCGGUACAAAGGGUCGCCAAGCCGCGAGGUGGAGCCAAUCCCAGAAAGCCGAUCGUAGUCCGGAUCGCAGUCUGCAACUCGACUGCGUGAAGUCGGAAUCGCUAGUAAUC
rnacentral:rRNA from 1 species